rnacentral:rRNA from 1 species
AUGGCGCCCGUGCAUCGGCGACCUGGAGAUCCUCCUCCACGAUACGGAGCACAAGAGGAGGUUUUUACCGUAGAAAUCAACUAUAGUGGAUUUUUCUGCGGAUUUGGCCGAUCGAAGACGUAUGUCGAUGGUAAAGUUGCUCUGUUCGAUGGUUGCGAAGUAGAUACAUGGUCUCCUCUCUGGCUCACUGAUUUUAUGCAGCAACUGGGAUAUAGUGACCAAUCUAAGCAUGUUAUUUACUGGUUACUGCCUGGAAAGAAUUUAGCCGACGGACUGCGGAUUGUGGACUGUGACACUGACACUUUGCACAUGACAGCAGUUGUUCCAAAAUUCAGUUGUUUCAGUUGUUUGUUGAUCACAAAGAUAUGGCCUUUGACAAUGUAA